CGGAAAGGCCCUUCGGGGUACUCGAGUGGCGAACGGGUGAGUAACACGUGGGUGAUCUGCCCUGCACUCUGGGAUAAGCCUGGGAAACUGGGUCUAAUACCGGAUAGGACCACACACUUCAUGGUGAGUGGUGCAAAGCUUUUGCGGUGUGGGAUGAGCCCGCGGCCUAUCAGCUUGUUGGUGGGGUAAUGGCCCACCAAGGCGACGACGGGUAGCCGGCCUGAGAGGGUGACCGGCCACACUGGGACUGAGAUACGGCCCAGACUCCUACGGGAGGCAGCAGUGGGGAAUAUUGCACAAUGGGCGCAAGCCUGAUGCAGCGACGCCGCGUGAGGGAUGACGGCCUUCGGGUUGUAAACCUCUUUCAGUAGGGACGAAGCGAAAGUGACGGUACCUACAGAAGAAGGACCGGCCAACUACGUGCCAGCAGCCGCGGUAAUACGUAGGGUCCGAGCGUUGUCCGGAAUUACUGGGCGUAAAGAGCUCGUAGGUGGUUUGUCGCGUUGUUCGUGAAAACUCACAGCUUAACUGUGGGCGUGCGGGCGAUACGGGCAGACUAGAGUACUGCAGGGGAGACUGGAAUUCCUGGUGUAGCGGUGGAAUGCGCAGAUAUCAGGAGGAACACCGGUGGCGAAGGCGGGUCUCUGGGCAGUAACUGACGCUGAGGAGCGAAAGCGUGGGUAGCGAACAGGAUUAGAUACCCUGGUAGUCCACGCCGUAAACGGUGGGUACUAGGUGUGGGUUUCCUUCCUUGGGAUCCGUGCCGUAGCUAACGCAUUAAGUACCCCGCCUGGGGAGUACGGUCGCAAGACUAAAACUCAAAGGAAUUGACGGGGCCCGCACAAGCGGCGGAGCAUGUGGAUUAAUUCGAUGC
rnacentral:rRNA from 1 species